AGGAAAUGUAACUAGCACAAAGAGGAAAGCUGAAAUCUCAGCUGAGCCAUCCCUACUGAAAGGUUAUUAUCCUUUCUUGUUUCCUUUACAGAGGAGAGAGGCGGUCUGGUUAACUUAAUUCUCAGGAUACUGUGGAAUGUAGGUGCCAUGUGGAUGAAGGACAAAGUCCUGGUGAUAGGAGGAACAGUGACUGUUGUCACUGGAUUCUCAGCAUCCAGUUUGCCUACACUUCUGGAUGGUGAGUCAGGCUGGUGGCCCUGAUGCCUGGCAGUGGGCCCCGCCCAACUUGACAUACAGUGAUCAUCUCUUUGGGAUCGCUACAGGACAUCUAUGGAGAGAACACCCCACUUGGAGACAAACACACAGACUUGAGUCCCUUCAAGAAUAUUUCUGGCUGACAGAUGUCUGUGUCUUCGAGUGACCUGGUCCUGGCCACAAUGCUAUGCGUGAGGAAUGCACAACGUCAUAUUCUCUCUCCAUAUUAUAGAUGCGACUGCUGCUGGCCAAGAUCCAGGGUAUUACCUAUAGCCUGGUGUUGCUAAGGCUCUCAGGGCCCUUUUCUCUCUAUUGAGAAUGAGAACUCUCAAACAAAAAUUGUUUGGAUUUAAAAAAAAAAACAUUUAUUGUUUUUAUGUGCAUGUGUGUAUGGAUGUGUGUAUAUGUAUGCACA
rnacentral:lncRNA from 1 species